GUUGUCGCUCAGUGGUAGAGCACUUGCCUGGCAUGCAUGAGGUCUUGGGUUUGAUCCUCAGUGCCAUG
rnacentral:tRNA from 1 species